UUUAUAAACCAGGGAAGACCAUUUAUUUUCACCGGAAUAUCUUAGAUUUCAGGGGUUAUUGUUGAAUGUGGAGAAUGGAGCUUUUUCUGAAAGAAAAAUAUACAGUGUCACAUCUUGGUUUGUAGGUAUGUCCUUCUUGUUGUGACAGAACUUCUGUCCUGCCUUGAAGCCAAGAAAAAACAUUGAGCCUGCCCCACCUUACUGGGAAAUGCCAAGGCCCAGAAGAGCACCUGCUCCUAAAACUGCAAGGAAUGGUCCCUUCCUUCUGCUUGUGCCAGCCCCAGCAGCAUGGCAGUGCUGAAAUGCAAAUGGAAUGGCCCAGCUCCUGAGGACACACAUCUGCCUGAAACUCACUUGGAGCUCCUGAAAGUCCUGGGUCAUCAAGAAAGUGGUGCUGACUGAAGUCUGCCAACUGCUUCUGAUCUGGCUGAAACUGCAGCUGAAAAAACUGCUCUGAAGUUCAUUCCUGAAACCCAUUCAUCUCCAAGACAGAAAGCAAGCAGGAGGGAAAGAGUGGCUAAGACAAGUCUGAGGAGGCAGAAAUCAUGACUAAGAAGAAAAAAAAGGAGGAUAAUAUUUUCAAGAUGGAAAAGUUAACUUGCAGCUUUCAGAAUGGUCCUUCAGGCUGUCUGAAUGAUGGUUGGGUAUUUGCACUUGUGCGUGCACUUCUGAAUUGCAUGGCAUGAGACACAGGCAUUGAAAGGACUCUGCUCCUGCUCUCCUGGAAGGAGGCAGUGAUCUUCAGAGCCUGACCAAACCCAGCAGGCUGUAACCAAGCUCCAGCCCCAGUUCACUGUCACCAGGGUACAAAACACAAGGAGCCACGCUGAGUUCAUGAGGAGCAAUGGAGCCAUGCUCUUACAUGUUCCUAAAAAGUCUCCCUGUGACUGAGCUACCAGGAGUGGGAACAGAGGAACAGAAGGAGAAGCAGCAGUUUCAGACUUCAGUUCAGCCACAGGUAGC